UGUGUGCCAGCCACGGAGACCCCGUCUCUUCUAUCACUUGCUGUCAGCAUUCAGAAGAUUGAAAUGAAGGGCAGCAGAGAUUUGGGAAAUAAUCCCCUUCUCCACAGAAGCUGUUCUGAUGCUUCCCCGUGCCAUAACAAAUCAGUGAGGAUUAAAAACCUCUGUCACUUGUGUAAAACGUCCUGCCAGGAUUGGAUUCACCCCUCCAGCUUAGCUGGGACAGAGGGAUGAGCCUGAUGGACACCCCCUCAGGCAGGGACAUCCCUGGAGCCACCCAGCCCUUCCCACGGAGCUGGAGCUGUCUGCAGGUGGAGCUCAGGGUGUUCUGGUUCCUGAGUGGCACAAAAAGCUUUCUUCUGCCACGGGGAGCAGCUGCACCGAGGAAAAAAUGUGGGUGAGUGAGGAGAUGGGAGAUCAGGGAAAGGUUCUUCCCCCAGAGGGUGGAAUCAGCACUGGAACAGCUCCCCAGAAAUGGGCACGGCCCGAGGCUGCCAGAGCUCCAGGAGGGAUUGGACAGCGCUGCCAGGGAUGCCCAGGGUGGGAUUUUUGGGACAUCUGAGCAGGGACAGGGUUGGGAUGAUCCCUGGGGGUCCCUCCAGCUCAGGACAUUCUGGGACUCUGUGAUUGCCUGGCUCAGGGAAGGAAAUCCAAGUGGAUUUCCAAAGCACCCGUUGCUGUUGGUUCUGGGGUUGUACAAGUGGUUCCAUCAGCUCUGAAUUGUCCUUGUUCUGUUCCUGUGGAGUUCAUCCUUUCCUGGCAGGGUGGGCAGGCCCUGGAUCCCUGGCAGUGCCCAAGGCCAGGUUGGACACCCUGGGACAGUGGGAGGUGUCCCUGCCAUGGCAGGGGUGGCCCUGGGUGAGAUUUGAGGUCCCUUCUGGGGAAUUCAUCCAGGAUGGCCCCUGUUUGUCAGGGCAGGAGGGAGCAGGUGAAUUCCCAGUGUCACCGUAUUGGGAAUUCUCCCUUUGCUCCUCCCAGACAAAAUGACCUCGGAGCUCAGCAAAGCCUCAGAGCUGCCACUGAGGCCAGGACCCGUCAGGUGAGGCGGUUUUAGCUUCAUACAUGGAUUAAAUCUGAUGGAAUAUUCAUUUUUGCCACGGUCCUCACAUUCCUGACUCCAUCCUGAGGGCUGGAACCCAGGACUGGACCAGCUGCAUUCCAGACUCUUCUCCUGAAGGUGAGGAGCAGAGCACCCCUUUCAGCCCCACGAUUUCCAGGGUGGGAGGUGCUGGGGAGGUUCCUGAUGGAUUCCUGGGAAGGACAAGAUGAGAACCCUGAAACACCUGGCGAGGAAGAGCCCGGCAGCAAUCCUGGGGAAGAAGGAGCCCGUAGAGCUGGGAAUGAUUGGCAGCAGAUGGAUCAACAAAGGAGCUCGGAAUCACGAUGCACGGGGGCUUCUGCCUCUGCUGACUGUGCUUUGCUGUCAAUCACAGGCUCUUCCUCAGGCUGGGAAGAGAUUCCGGGUGUUCUCUCCAUGGAAUCUGGCUGUCCUCAGCAGCUUUUGGAACCUGAGGAUCGCGUUGCCUUGGUUUGAUCCCGCACUUGAAAGGCAGCCUGUGAUAUCCUAAAGUUCUGAAUCGGCAGAAAUUAAUGAGAGUGGGAAAGAGAAAUGGGAGCAUUUCCAUUUCACAACCCCUCUCUGCAUGUUACAAACAUUUCAUUAAACUGGGUGAGGUAAAAUUCGCAUUAUAAUUAGAGCUGGAUGAGAGGAAACUCGGAAAGAUCUUUCCUUGAGCUUCCCCAAAUUAACCCCAGGGCAGGGUUUGGAGUUGGAUGGGCCCUAAGGCCCCUUUCACCCCAAGCCCUUCUAUAACUCCAUAAAAGCAGAAUAAUUUAUACUUUUCUUUUGGAUUUUAGGAGCUUCUUAAGAAAAUUACCUGCACUGCUGGAGGAGAUACUUUCUGGUGCUGUCUGAGAUGACUUUACUUAAAUAAGAUCCAAAACCUUUAAUAGAGGAUAACUCCCGGUAAACUCUGCCUUCCUUCUCUUGGCAUUCCUCUGCCAGGCAAAUAUAUUGGGAUAAAAAGAAGAAAGGAGUUCUGUGUUACUACUUGUUACAAUAGAACUGUCCUGUUCUACUUUUUCACCCUGAGUUAACUCAACUCCCACACUACUCAAACCCUUGUGGCUGUAAUUCCUCACGCAGAGUUGGCAGCUUUUUCCCAGGCUAAAAUCAAAGCCACAGGUGUUUUUGACUUUGUGCCAAGGUCUGUGAGCCCCUGCCAGGGUCUGGAGCAGCCAGGGCAGCCAGAGGGAUGUGCUGGGCUCCGACAGCUGCUGAUGGGCCUUGGGCUUUCAAAGACACCCAAGCAGUUGUUGGCUGCUCUAAAGUUGUUCAUUGCAUGAGUGCAUCAGCCUCCAAGGCAAAGAGUUCAAGGUGUGAAAAAUCCAUUAAAAGCUUUCUGGCAGAGUCCCAGGCAGGAGCUGCAGGGCUGCAAGGCUGCAAUGAUGCAGGGCUGCAAGGCUGCAAGGCUGCAGGGCUGCUCUCUGGUACAGAGUCCCCAGUUCUGUGCAGGAGCAGCAGCAGGGACCAGCCUGCAGCAGCAGCAAGGGGAACCACAGCCUUUUCUUCUUCUUUCCUCUUUUCUUCUUCUUCGUGUUCUUCCUUCCUGCCUUGCACCCCAAUACAGGGUGUUUUUAUUCAUAAAUCACCCAAUCAGCUAAAAACACCAUUCUGAAACACUCCUUCUAAACCAAACUAAACUUCAUUCUAAUGUGCCAAAGUAGUAAGAAAGUGAUGUCAGUUCCUACCUAAAAACUACAUAUAAAUAUAAUCUAUUUACACAAAUUUACUAUGUGUAUGCUAUACUAUCUGUUUUCUCACUCAAAAUCUACCUUUAUAAGUCCAUCUAUUCACAUGAGUGGCUCUAUCUAUUUAUGUACAUGUUCCACCUGUUCUGGAGGCACAAGCAAAGUUCUGCUCUGUUUCUGUUAUGCCUGGGACUAAGUUACUGAACUUUAAACUACACCUUAGGGCCUUUACUAUCUAACACAGCUUCUUAAGGCACUUAAAAUGUAUUUCUACUUACUUAAAACUAUAACUUACACUUAAAACUUAAACCUACACUUCUACUUUAUAUCUAUGUGGCUUAAAAUAUCUUAAUUUCUCUAAAGGCUUUUAUUCAAGCCCACAUUCAUCUUUCUCUGUUGCUUGCAUUCCAACAGCUGCUGAACAAGGAGAGGUCCUGUGUUCCUGUAACACCAGGAAUUUCACUGGAGAGAGAAAAUGGCUCUGCUGAAGUGACCAGAGAUCACAGAGCUGAUGGCAUCAGCAGCAUCAGGGAGUAAUUGUUUUGUUAAUAUUUGCCUUUAGAAGGUGGUGUAAGAGUGGAAUUUCACUGAACACAGAGUAGCUGGGGUGGGAAGGUGUGCAAAUUCACUUGUGGGGAAUUUUGGAGGGAAUUAGAGACAGGACCUGUGAGCUGUUUUGAUGAUGUGGUUUAUUUUCUUAUCUUCUGCACAGGCAGGAAGGGUGAGUUGGGCUCACAUCUUCACUGCACGGAUCAGAAGGUCACAAGACCCUCAGUUACAAGACCUUUUAAGGAGUUAUUGACCAAUAAGGCACUGCCAACAAGGAUAUUUAUGUUUUUCACCCAAUCCUUAAAUAUUUCAUCAUAUGGAGCCAUGCUACAUGUCAGCUUUCUUAGGCAAUCAUGUUAUGGCACACAAACCCACAGUGCUGCUGCAUCCUAAACUCCUUGUUUACCUCUGGAACUGCUUUUAUUUCUAUAUCUUAAACUCUAAAACUCUAAACUUACCUUAACUCAAUGUGUCUCUGCUUUAAACAGCAAAUCCACAUUCUCACUGCUGGCACCUCAUUUUGGGAGCCUUUCCCAAGGUUUCAGAUCCAACUCUGGGUUUAAUUCUGAGCUUUGGCUCACAGGCCCAAAGCUCUGAGAGUUCCCUGAAUUUCAGAGUCCAGCAGGAAGGAGCUUGGAGCCCAUCAGGUGGAGGAGCUGCUGGAGGAGCUGCCCUGACUCACUCCAGGCAGGCUCUGGGUCUCUGCCUGAACUCUGUGCCCCAUCACCCCAGGGCAAUCCCUGUUAUUGCAGCCCACCAUAAUGACAGCAUUCAUAAUUGAGCUAAUUUAGCCAGCACUCCUCAUUAUUGCUCUCUGUCUCUCUGAAGGAUAUUGCCUUAGCUUUCAUUAGUGCUGGGGAGCACAGGGGGGAGCUGCCCUCAGGUGGGUUUGGGGGAGUGAAGAUGUGCAGAUCGUGGAACAUUUACUUUGUGUGAUUGGUUUUCUGGUUUGUUCUAACAGAGAGCAAUAAAACCGAUCUGUGCUGGCACAGCCUGGGAAACGUGGAGUUUAUUGGGGUUUCUCUGACCAGGAUGUGUACAUCCUUGCAGGUGCUGCUGCAGGAAUCCUGUGUCAGAGCAAUGCCCUGGACUCAGCUUCCUGAUUUCUCACAUCAAACGGGUCAGGGGUGCUCCUCUCUAACCAGAACUCAAAUGCUUUUUCUUCAACUCCAAUCUCAAAAGACUGAAGGUACCUUCUGUGACAUCCUUGGAAUUGCAAGGUCCUCCUGGCACCCAGCAGCUUCCUUGGCCUGCUGGGCUUGGGGUGGAGGAGUCUCAAGGGUUGUGGAAUAUCCUAAAACCUGCACAAGGCUCUCCUUCCUCUGGUGGUUUGUCCUUUGUCCAGGAAUUUCUGGGAGGGGAACAGGAGCUCAGCUGUUGUGCUCAGCAUCCUUACCUGCUUUUUGGUGUCCAGAAAUGUUUCCAAACCCUGAGUAACUUUUCAACUGCUCUUCAGCAGCUUCAGAUCAUUUAAUUCAAUUCCCCAAAAGCAUUUGAUAGCCCAGACUAUUGGUGCUGAUGGAUGAAAGUGUGGGAUUCGAGUGUUUGAGCACCACAGCUGCUCCUGCAGCAGGCCCUGACGUUCACACCAUUCCAAACACCAACAGAGCCACAAAAUUUAUUUCCAUAAUCCAAAUGGCAGUGAAAUUCCCCUCUCCAGCACCAAUUUGUCUAUUUUAUUAGGGGAUAUCUGUGUGGGAAGUUCAUUUGCUCUCCAUUUCUGUGCCAUCCCUCCUUGAGGCAGCACCUCUGCCCUGCCCAGUUCCUCCUGGCAUUUUUGGCUGCACUUCCCUUCUGCAGGAAAUUCCCUGAUGUGGAUGUUUGUUCCACCAGCAGUGGCUGCUUUGCACUCCUGAGAGCUCUGGGAAUGCUCAUGAAAUCCCACUGGAGGCCAGAGCAGCCUCCAGAGCUGGUGCUGAGGGUGGGGGGUCUCUGGGCAGAGCUGCAUCCACAGGUUUGGGCUCCUCUGCCUUCCAUGGGCUUUCAAAAGCCUCGGAAAUAAAUCUCUGCUCUGUGUUUUGGGAGAGGGGAAGGGUUCCCUCCUCCCUGCUGCUUUCUUGGUGCCCCUUGGUGUCGUGGCAUGGGAGCCUCUCCAUGAUGGAGAUUGGCCCCAUGGCUCCAGCUGGGCACAAAUCAUUGGGAAAUUGGGAAUUCCUGGCUGGGAGGGGUUGGGAUGGAAUUGCCAGAGCAGCUGGGGCUGCCCCUGGAUCCCUGGCAGUGCCCAAGGCCAGGCUGGACACUGGGUUUGGAGCAGCCUGGGACAGUGGAGGUGUCCCUGCCUUGACAGGGGUAGCACUGGGUGGGAUUUAAGGUGCUUCCAACCCAAACCAUUCUGGGAUUCUGGGAUUUUUGGAUACAGCUUUAGCUCUGCCAGGUUUUUAAGGCUCUGUGGCCAUCAGGUUCCUUUGGUUGAUGAGGAGCAGGUGGACUCCAAAGAGUAAAUCCAUGAAUCUCUGCUGCUGGAAGGAAAUACUUUAAAGAGAGGGGAAUAACCAGUAUGGGGGAAAUCAACCUCCUCUGAUCCUGAAAAUGCCUCUCUUGUUUUCCUUUGAGCUCCACAAAGCCAGUGGAACUGUCACUGCGGCACUUACUACUCUUUCUUUUUGAUCUGUGACAUGAAUUAAUUCUGACACAUGUGGCUUUGGAAUUUUGCUUUCCCAGUCCCAGUACAUGCAAACAAUGAGUUGUGGCUUCUGCCUGUGAUUUCAAUGACUGAUUAAAAAAAAAUCCUUGCAAAGGAUUGCCUGGGAAGAUGCAGUCCUGACUUCAGAGACAUCAAAUAGGAAACAUUGUUCUCUUUAGUGGAGGAACACUUUAUUCUGACCCUUGUGGCUUUGUCACUGUUUUAGGGCUUUUUAAUUGAAAAAUAAAUACAUUCUGU
rnacentral:lncRNA from 1 species